rnacentral:tRNA from 1 species
AGGGGCGUAGUUAAGUGGUAUAACGCUUCUCUCCAAAAGAAGAGUUGUGGGUUCGAUUCCUACCGCCCCUGCCA